rnacentral:rRNA from 1 species
UACAGAGGGUGCAAGCGUUGUUCGGAAUUAUUGGGCGUAAAGGGCGCGUAGGCGGCUUUUCAAGUGACGGGUGAAAUCCCUCGGCUUAACCGAGGAACUGCCUGUCAGACUGGAAGGCUUGAGACCGGGAGAGGUGAGUGGAAUUCCCAGUGUAGCGGUGAAAUGCGUAGAUAUUGGGAGGAACACCAGUGGCGAAGGCGGCUCACUGGACCGGAACUGACGCUGAGGCGCGAAAGCGUGGGGAGCAAACAGG